rnacentral:lncRNA from 1 species
CUGGCUCCCAUCCUACACUAGGUGACUAGGUGUGUGUUACGGUCACUGAUGAUGCCUUGGGGAAAGUAGUUUGUCUCUGAGCAAGAUUUGAAGCCAAGCUGCCUUGUUCCUAAAAAUGGCUACAAAAGUCCAUUUUCUCCAUUUGCAUCUGUGAGAUUUUAACUUAUGGAGGUACGGACUGAGUGACGACAAGGAGAGGCCGAUGCUAUUGAAAGUAGAAUUUAUUACUUGCUCUUCUGAGAGGAGAAACGCCACAUCAUGCAGAUUCUGUCAGAAGGGACAAAGGAGCGAGGGGAACACUUAGGCUAGAGCCUUGUUUCUGCAGGAAAGAUGAGGUUUCAUGUGCUGCCCAGGAUGAGCCACUGUGCCCGGCCAAAUGAGCUAUUUAUGAUGAUCAUAAGGACACAAGAUAAGGAAAUCCAAUCAGUUGCUACGUGCUGAUGAUUCUGAUUCUGGCCCUGCAGUAUCGCUUGCAUGCACCUCCUCCUCCCUGUGCUCACUGCUGGAGAAAAGAGAACCUUGGCUGAUGAUUUAUGGAUCUACAAGAUUAGUAGAUUACAUGCCGGAGGAAGUCACCACCAUCACAUAUUGGAUUUCAGCAAGCAUUUGAUAAAAUUGCUUAUAAUAUUUUGGCCAAUAUUGGAUGGAAAAAUAUUGAGGAGAUGAUGUAGUGCUGAAGAAAGACAAGAUGCUGAGGAAGACAAGACUGGUUAACAGAUCAUGGCAUUUUAAAGAUGAAGUCUCACUCUCCACCAUAUGAGGACACAGCGAGAAGGUAGCCACCUGCAAAACAGGAAGAUAGCCUUCACCAGGAACAGAAUCUGCUGGCACCUUGAUCUUGGACUUCGCAGCUUCGAUAAGUCUUCUCCGCCUAAUGGUCCAUUCCCAUUUCCACUGAUGGACCUGCAGCACUCGCCCUCCUCCACUCCCAGGAGGAACCUCCCCCACGGCUGCUGCUACAGGACUGCUUGACUUCUUUAGGCUGCUCCAUCAGGAUUCACAUUCCCCAACCCACACAGAACCUAGCCAGGGCCUUCCUAGCUUCUUUCCUUCCCUUCUUUCCUGAGGGGAAAGUCCACCUUGGGUUUAAAUGGCUUAAGACUGGGCAAUAAGCCUGAUCUCACUCUCAACCUUUGUCUACAUCAUGCUUAUGUUUUGACAAAGUGGAAUUUUACCUGAAGGUUAAGAAAGCCCAUUGCCCUUUUACGUUCUGGAAAAUGACUUACUGCAAGGGGCCACCCUUCCCCGUAUGACUUAGACAAGUUUCAUGAGUGCCCCUUUGUCUACUGAUGACAAAACUAGAUAGGGAUCUUCCAGUCUUCUGUUUUUGACCUCCUAAAUGACUAGCUGAACUGCUUGUCACCACUGAUCAAUCAGAACAAAAUGCCUGUUAGCCAAACUUUGGUUAAGCUUCUCUCCUUCCCCCAGGCCCCUGAGCUUUGGCCCUCCAUAACCCAAGCCAGCAUACAGCCUCUUCUUAGGGACCCCUCCCCACAAAUAGGCUGGCCACCAGGUAGAACAUUCUCUGAUCUACUGUCCCAUGAGGUCACUCUUUCAUUCCUCCUUGAAUUAGCAUAGUGAUGUCACCUUCCUGAGCCUUUUCUUUUUGAGACAGAGUCUUGCUCUGUUGCCCAGGCAGAAGUGUAGUAGUGUAAUCUCAGCUCACUGCAACCUCGGCCUCCUGGACUCAAGCAAUCCUCCCACCUCAGCCUCCCAAGUAGCUGAGACUACAGGUGCCUGCCACCAUGCUUGGCUGAUUUUUUUUGGUACUUUUUGUAGAGACAGGAUUUCAUCAUGUUGCCCAGGCUAGUCUGGAACUCCUGGGUUCAAGCAAUCUGCCCACCAUGGCCUCCUAAAGUGCUAGGAUUACAGGCAUGAGCCACCGUGCCCAGCCCUGAGCCUUAUUUUCACUUCAAUACCAGACAUUGCUAAGUGGCAGUUGCUGGGCCAGGGUCAGCCCCAAAUUUUCUUUAUUCAGUACAUACAGUAUUGGAAAUAUUUAUUUUAAUCAAUUACCACCAUUGAAAAAAAAUCAGGAGACUUUACGUAAAUCUUUUGGCUUCUCUUAAGAAACAGGAUCCGGAAACAUUGUUUCCACCUCCUUGUAAGGUGACAGCACUCAUAACUGGCCUGCUUUGCUCAUUUUCGUGACCUGCCUGGGUUUUGGCUUUAUGUUAACCCUAACCCCUGGCAGAGAGUGCACAGUUCUCUCUCAUAUAGUUGUUAUGAGGUCCAAAUAAAAUAGUGUAUAAAGUAGCUCCCAGUAAGAACUGAAUCAUUAUUACUUCUCCCUUUUUAGUUGCUGAAAUUCAGGUUUGUGAGCUUACGUUGACUUUUAAGCAUCUAAAUAGAUUUUCCAUUUUACAUAGAUGAAUAAUGAUUAAAAAUAGCAAAAGUAGGAUUAGAUGAACACCUGGGAUGAAGCAAAUCCUUAAAGGAAAAUAAUAUGAUCUCAGGAUCUUGAAAACAUGUUUGCAAGAUACAUUUUUCCUUGAGAUUAAAAUCUUAGACUUUUGUUAUCUCUUCCAAAUGAACCAUUUAAUCAAUGAGACAGUUUAUUGGACAAAUAGAUGUUUUCCUUGCACUGUGCCAAAAAACAGAUUUGAUUGAUUUUACAAUUAAAUUGAGGGAAGUGGCUGAUAGUUUUUGCAAACUCAUUCCUUGCCCUUUAUUGAUUUUUGUUUAAAGUUUAGCCAUUGAACAUUACAAUAAAGUAACUAAGCAAGCCACCUUGAACUGACAAAACAAGGGCACUCACUAAGUGAAAACACCACACAUAAUGAUAAGACCUGUCAGAGCACUUAUGGAUUCUGCAUCUGAUCACUGGAAUAUGACGUCUAGAGUACUAGGAUUAAGAAUCUCAGCCUUGAAGUUAAAAAAAAAAAAAAAAAAAGGACUCUUAACCUUUUCCUGGCACAGUGGCUCAUGCCUGUAAUUCCAACACUUUGGGAGGCCAAGGCUGGAGGACUGCUUGAGGCCUGGAGUUUAAGACCAGGCUGGGCAACAUAGUGAGACCCCUCCCCUUCCCAUCUCUACAAAAUAAUAAAUAAAUAAAUAAAUAAAUAAAUAAAUAAAUAAAUAAAUAAAUAAAAGAAUCCCAGCCUUGAGGUUAGCUUUGGACUAUCAAAGCUGCCUCAACUAUUGCUCAUUUAGAGAGCUCAAAAGCUUUUUUAAGAACUCGCUUAUUUGUUUCAUUUCCUCUUCUGAAGAUUUUUUUUGCAGAUCCAGACUUUGAAGAGGCUCCUCCCUCCUGCCAGGCUCACUUGCCCUUGUCCUUGCUGUGACAAAUUACAUAUUUCAAAACUCUCAAGUAGUGCCCCGCUUCUGUCCCAACGCUACCACCACCAUGCAUAUCCCUUGCUGAACUCUGAAACCAAGACUCAGUUUCAGGAAACACAGCUGUCAGAACACUCCUCCAGUUACAGAGUCUACAGGCAUCUCACACUAGGUCUCCAGGUCCCCAUGUCCCAGCAUGAAGUGGGGGUGGAAUGUGGCAGAGGCCUGUCACCUCUCCUCCCUCCAGGGCUGGCAACAACUUCCCCCGACCUGGGUCUUCUGUUUCACAACAGAUUCAGUCUUUUCAACUUCUGGAUGCCUCUCUUGGUAGCUCACACCUGCAAUCCAAGCACUCUGAGGGGCAGAGGAUCCUUUGAGCCUCCGAGUUCAAAAUCAGGCCAGUCAACAUAGUGAUACCCCUUCUCUAUCAAAAAUAAGAACUAAAAAAACUUUUUAAAUGGAUGCUUCUCUUAGCUUAGCUUCUCUUUGCAUUUGAAAAAUGAUGCCAAUUCUUUUCCUCAGGGGACGUCUUUGAAUGCCUCUGGCACUUUCACAGAUUCCUCCUUUUUUUUUUUUUAUGAAGCAAAAUGUGGCAAUUUAGACGUUUCAUUAGUUGUUACUAAGCUGUGUCUCUGCUUGUUUUGUAAACUCUUUCCCAGACCCAGUGGAAAAGCGCAUGCACUUCUUUUACUUUUUUGAAGAGAACUAGCACCCUCUGUAGGCCAAUCUUGUUUAUUAAUAGUUUCUAGUGCCAGUGCCUAAGGCAAAAAAAUUGCAUUUGUCAAACCUAUCUAUGAAAAUCCCUUAAAUUAUCAGGAAGCAUAAAAACCAAGAAUUAGUUUCUUUUGUUUCUGUUUUGGUCAGUGUCUCCCUUUUUUGGAGUAGUGGAUUUCAACAGGGGAGGGAAGC